rnacentral:rRNA from 1 species
CCUACGGGGGGCAGCAGUGGGGGAUAUUGCACAAUGGGGGAAACUCUGAUGCAGCGACGCCGCGUGAGUGAAGAAGGAAUUCUUUAUGUAAAGCUCUAUCAGCAGGGAAGAAAAAGACGGUACCUGAGUAAGAAGCCCCGGCUAAGAACGUGCCAGCAGCCGCGGUAAUACGUAGGGGGCAAGCGUUAUCCGGAUUUACGGGGUGUAAAGGGAGCGUAAGCGGCUGUGCAAGUCUGGAGUGAAAGGCAGCGGCUCAACCCCCGAACUGCUCUGGAAACUGUACGGCUUGAGUGCAGGAGAGGUAAGUGGAAUUCCUAGUGUAGCGGUGAAAUGCGUAGAUAUUAGGAGGAACACCUGUGGCGAAGGCGGCUUACUGGUCUGUAACUGACGUUGAGGCUCGAAAGCGUGGGGAGCAAACAGGAUUAGAUACCCUAGUAGUC